rnacentral:rRNA from 1 species
CCUACGGGAGGCAGCAGUGAGGAAUAUUGGUCAAUGGGCGAGAGUCUGAACCAGCCAAGUAGCGUGAAGGAUGACUGCCCUAUGGGUUGUAAACUUCUUUUAUAUGGGAAUAAAACAGGGUAUGCAUACCCUCUUGUAUGUACCAUAUGAAUAAGGAUCGGCUAACUCCGUGCCAGCAGCCGCGGUAAUACGGAGGAUCCGGGCGUUAUCCGGAUUUAUUGGGUUUAAAGGGAGCGUAGGUGGAUUGUUAAGUCAGUUGUGAAAGUUUGCGGCUCAACCGUAAAAUUGCAGUUGAAACUGGGAGGCUUGAGUACAGUAGAGGCGGGCGGAAGGCGUGGUGUAGCGGUGAAAUGCUUAGAUAUCACGAAGAACUCCGAUUGCGAAGGCAGCUCACUGGACUGCAACUGACACUGAUGCUCGAAAGUGUGGGGAUCAAACAGGAUUAGAUACCCUAGUAGUC